AGUGAACGCUGGCGGUAUGCCUUACACAUGCAAGUCGAACGGCAGCACGGUAAGCGCUCGCUCUUCGAGGUGGCGAGUGGUGGGUGGGUGAGGGAUACAUCGGCAUCUACUUUUUCUUGGAGGAUAACGUAAGGACUCAUACGCCAUUACUGCAUACGACCUAAGGGUGAAAGCAGAGGACCUUCGGCGCUUGCGCUAUUCGAUGAGCCGAUGUCGGAUUAGCUAGUUGGAGGGGUAAAGGCCCACCAAGGCGACGAUCCGUAGCUGGUCUGAGAGGAUGAUCAGCCACACUGGAACUGAGACACGGUCCAGACUCCUACGGGAGGCAGCAGUGGGGAAUUUUGGACAAUGGGCGCAAGCCUGAUCCAGCCAUACCGCGUGAGUGAAGAAGGCCUUCGGGUUGUAAAGCUCUUUUGGCAGGAAAGAAAAGCUGCGGGUUAAUACCCCGCGCUACUGACGGUACCUAAAGAAUAAGCACCGGCUAACUACGUG
rnacentral:rRNA from 1 species